GCCUUGGACUUCCAAAGUGCUGGGAAUACAGGCAUGAGCCACCAUGCCUGGCCAAUUUUUUUUUUUUUUUUUUGGUCAAAUCUCCUCAGGUGAUUUUGUUGCUGAGUGACAGUCAAAAACCACAAGAUGAGAUGAUCUCAAAGUCCCUUCUGUUUCUCACAUUCUAAGAUUCUUCUCUGCUAAAAUUAGACUUGCUUGUUCAUCACUAAGAGAACUGGUGGGGAGAGAGGCAUCUGCAUUUUUUCAAGCUCUCGAGGUUUUAAUUUAAGCUGCAUCUACGUGGGCAACAGCAGCUGAGGCCCGAGUCAGCAGCAGGGCCUAGUCCAGAGACGAUGGAUGGCGCUGACUGCGUGUGUGAGUCAGCAAGCCAGAGCUGAGCUGAUGGAAAUGUUCCACCUGGGAGACAGGCCAUACCGACUACAGGUGACCUGGAUGCCCCAUGAAAAAGGCUCCAACCACCCACCACUCUCUGGUGGGCCUGCUCCGCCCAGCACCUCCAACACCAUGUUCGAAGUCCAGCCUUCAUCUCAUGCGGAGUUUCUGAAGUCAGCUCUCGGCAGAGCACUCCUCAUCAGCCACCCAGCCUGUUUUCUGUUGCCUCAGGCCAGAAAGCCUGGAACCAUCUCAGCUGCUCAGCCUCUGAGCCAGCACUAGGAACAGCUGGGCUCUUGGUGAAGCUGCAUCUCAGAUGCAAUCCCACAGCUCCGCCCAGGCCUCAGCCUCAUCCAGGCCCUGCCUCCUCCAUUCGCCCAUCCUGCAGAACAACCCUCCUCUCCACUCAAACCCCUGCUCCCAUCUAGCUUUCCCUCAUGCCCCUAGUCCAAGUUUCAUCUCCUUGGAGUGGCAUCCAUAGCCUUUCCUAAUGUGACCCCCCCGGUCCCCAGCCAACUUCUCCAGCCUUGCCCAUCACCCUCUGUUGCCUACCCUCUGUGCUCUGUGUCCUCCCCUACCCUGAAGGGCUUCGCUCAGGUUACACUGGGUGAUGCUGCUGCACAUAGUCCCUAGAAUGAAGUUGCCUGGGUUUAAAUCCUUUGGGCAAGGCAUUUAACCACACCUUGCCUACUUUCUCCAUCUGUAAAAUGGGGACAGUAAUAAAAUUUCCUUCAUAGGA